rnacentral:rRNA from 1 species
GAUGAACGCUGGCGGCGUGCCUAAUACAUGCAAGUCGAACGAAGAUCUAGCUUGCUAGAUCUUAGUGGCGAACGGGUGAGUAAUACAUAAAUAAUCUGCCCAUAUGACUGGGAUAACUAUUGGAAACGAUAGCUAAUACCGGAUAGGUUGAUCGGAGGCAUCUCUGAUGAAUUAAAGUAAGAUUUCUACACAAAUGGAUGAGUUUAUGGCGCAUUAGUUAGUUGGUGGGGUAACGGCCUACCAAGACGAUGAUGCGUAGCCGACCUGAGAGGGGGACCGGCCACACUGGGACUGAGACACGGCCCAGACUCCUACGGGAGGCAGCAGUAGGGAAUUUUCGGCAAUGGGCGCAAGCCUGACCGAGCAACGCCGCGUGAGUGAUUAAGGCCUUCGGGUUGUAAAGCUCUGUUGUAAGGGAAGAACAUUCAGGAUAGGAAAUGAUCUUGAACUGACGGUACCUUACCAGAAAGCCACGGCUAACUACGUGCCAGCAGCCGCGGUAA